GGAUGGAGACUCAUCUAGUUUGCUGAAUAAAUACUGUAUCUAACACAUACUGUAAUAACCUGUUGAUAAACAUUUUGUUGCAGGAACUGGGCUCUCAGACACUGAAUGUUCUAACUGCAGCAGAGGGACGUUCUCAGAUGGGACGUUUCCAUCCUGUCAGCCUCACACACAAUGUGAAACUCUGAUGAAAGCAGGAUCAGCUUCAGCCGAUGCAGAGUGUUCUGGAAAAGGUUCAGAUGUGGGAGCUGUGUUCAGCAUUUUCUUACGUAUAUUAUUUUUUGUUGCCAUUUUCUGGUGUAUUCUGCGGGUAAUGGUUGAAAUAAAUAAGAGACUGAGAAGAGAAAAUGAACGUUUUUGGCAGAAAGUAACAGAACUUUUGUUCAGCCAGGACAAAUCUUGAUGGUUUUUAUUGUUUUGUUUUUCAGUUUUAUUUUAUUUCUGGAUCAGAAUGUUUUGACUGCAGCCUGAUGUCAAACAUGGCUGCCCAAAUCAUAAUCCAAUAUUUUUAUUUUUCAAAUCAUGUUUUUUGCAUUAGAUCUUUUUAAUCCAGAGAAUUUAUAAGUAACUUAAAAAUAGUGAAAACUCUGACUCUGAAUGAGUCUUUUUUAUGAGAUGAAAUCCAUAUGUAGUGUUUUAUACUGACCAGCUUCAUGCAGACUGAGGGAGAGACACUUUAUCAACACACACACAGGUUCAAUUUUAUAUCCUCGUGGGGACCAUGGAUUGACUUCCAUUCAUUUUCUGGUAAUUGUUUAGCCUAACCCUGACCGUUUACC